ACUAGCUAGUAUUAAUCCCUGGUCAAAUCGGAAAGAAAACACUGACAAGAUUAGCAUCACGCCUGCGCAAGGAUGACGCGCAGAAAUGUAAGACUUAAUUUAUUUUU
rnacentral:snRNA from 2 species